rnacentral:rRNA from 1 species
AUACGGAGGAUCCGAGCGUUAUCCGGAUUUAUUGGGUUUAAAGGGUGCGCAGGCGGCCAUUUAAGUCAGUGGUUAAAUCGUGGGGCUCAACCCCAUUCUGCCGUUGAUACUGGGUGGCUUGAUUGCGGUCGAGGUUGGCGGAAUUCGUUGUGUAGCGGUGAAAUGCUUAGAUAUCACGAAGAACUCCGAUCGCGAAGGCAGCUCACCGGGCCGGAACUGACACUGAUGCUCGAAAGUGCGGGUAUCAAACAGGAUUAGAUACCCUGGUAGUCCGCACAGUAAACGAUGAAUACUCGCUGUUUGCGAUACACUGUAAGCGGCCAAGCGAAAGCGUUAAGUAUUCCACCUGGGGAGUACGCCGGCAACGGUGAAACUCAAAUGAAUUGGCGGGG